UGGGGAAUAUUGCACAAUGGAGGGAACUCUGAUGCAGCAACGCCACGUGCGGGAUGACGGCCUUCGGGUUGUAAACCGCUUUCAGCCAUGACGAAGCUUUUGUGACGGUAGUGGUAGAAGAAGCACCGGCUAACUACGUGCCAGCAGCCGCGGUGAUACGUAGGGUGCGAGCGUUGUCCGGAAUUAUUGGGCGUAAAGAGCUUGUAGGCGGUUUGUCGCGUCGAUAGUGUAAACACGCAGCUUAACUGUGUGCCUGCUGUCGAUACGGGCUGACUAGAGGAGGGUAGGGGAGAAUGGAAUUCCCGGUGGAGCGGUGGAAUGCGCAGAUAUCGGGAGGAACACCAGUGGCGAAGGCGGUUCUCUGGACCUUUCCUGACGCUGAGAAGCGAAAGCGUGGGUAGCAAACAGG
rnacentral:rRNA from 1 species